rnacentral:lncRNA from 1 species
CUCAAAGAACAGUAGUCAGGAGAACCGGUUGACUUUAAGGCAGCUUAACUUUCUCUUUGUGCAUGACAUCAUGUGUAUAAAUUUUCCAGGCUGGUUGAAACACGGAUGAAGCCAGUUCCCGUGGCAACAGGGAGACAUCCUUACAUCAUCCUUGUGAUGGCCCGAUCCAGGAAAUCAGUGGGAGAACCCACUGUACCACACAGAGAGAUCACAAGUAGGCAGAGAGGCAGAGAGAGAGGAGGAAGCAGGCUCCCCGCUGAGCCGAGAGCCUGAUGCGGGUCUCAAUCCCAGGACGCCAAGAUCAUGACUUGAGCCGAAGAAUGCCUCACCUGCAGCGUGGUCUGUAGUGAUACCUACCUGUGGUUAUUGGAACCCAGCCUGCUGGACCAAAGAAAGGAAGUCGGCCAGGCAGAUGUGAAAUCCAAAAGAGGACUUUCAUCCACUGCUAUCAACAGCUCUACCACCACAUGCCCCCAUGGAUUUUUUGGGAAGUAUUUUUGUGGUUUACCAGUCUCUCACUAGGCAGGGCCAUUGUCCUGGGUUGACCUUAUCCGCUGGUGGAAAGUACAGCUGGGACAUUUGGAAUGGUUACAGUUUGACUUUGAUUCUUGGCAGCUCACUGUCACUCUGAAGUUUUUUGGUGAGACCUUGAACCAAAUUUUGUUGUUGAGGAUUGCAGGUUGCCUCCUAAUCUUGGGGGACAUUUUGAGUCAUAACUGGCAGCAGCUUUUUGAUGACAACUCCAGCAAGCUCAGAGGAGAAGCCAUCUCUCUCUCUUAUAGGAAUAUGACUUUGGGUAAAUCACUUUGAACUCUGGACCUGUGGGUGUGAUCUAUACUCCCACUGAGCUCUGAUUUGCAGUGUGAGGC